GCGAUGGUGGUGUAGUUGGUUAUCACGUCAGUCUAACACACUGAAGGUCCUGGGUUCAAGUCCCGGCCGUCGUA
rnacentral:tRNA from 1 species